CGGAGACAGGUGGUGCAUGGUUGUCGUCAGCUCGUGUCGUGAGAUGUUGGGUUAAGUCCCGCGACGAGCGCAACCCUUACGGUUAGUUGAUACAUUAGGUUGAUCACUCUAGCCGGACUGCCGUUACAAAACGGAGGAAGGUGGGGACGACGUCAAAUCAUCAUGCCCCUUAUGACCUGGGCUACACACGUACUACAAUGGCAGUCAUACAGAGGGAAGCAAAGCAGCGAUGCGGAGCAAACCCCUAAAAGCUGUCUCAGUUCAGAUUGCAGGCUGCAACCCGCCUGCAUGAAGUCGGAAUUGCUAGUAAUCGCGGAUCAGCAUGCCGCGGUGAAUACGUUCCCGGGCCUUGUACACACCGCCCGUCACACCAUGAGAGCCGGUAAUACCCGAAGUCCGUAGCCUAACCGCAAGGAGGGCGCGGCCGAAGGUAGGACUGGUAAUUAGGGUGAAGUCGUAACAAGG
rnacentral:rRNA from 1 species